rnacentral:rRNA from 1 species
GACGAACGCUGGCGGCGUGCCUAAUACAUGCAAGUCGAGCGCAGGAAGCCGUCUGAACCCUUCGGGGGGACGACGGUGGAAUGAGCGGCGGACGGGUGAGUAACACGUAAAGAACCUGCCCAUAGGUCUGGGAUAACCACGAGAAAUCGGGGCUAAUACCGGAUGUGUCAUCGGACCGCAUGGCCCGCUGAUGAAAGGCGCUCCGGCAUCGCCCAUGGCUGGCUUUGCGGUGCAUUAGCUAGUUGGUGGGGUAACGGCCCACCAAGGCGACGAUGCAUAGCCGACCUGAGAGGGUGAUCGGCCACACUGGGACUGAGACACGGCCCAGACUCCUACGGGAGGCAGCAGUAGGGAAUCUUCCACAAUGGACGAAAGUCUGAUGGAGCAACGCCGCGUGAACGAUGAAGGCUUUCGGGUCGUAAAGUUCUGUUGUAAGGGAAGAACAAGUGCCGCAGGCAAUGGCGGCACCUUGACGGUACCUUGCGAGAAAGCCACGGCUAACUACGUGCCAGCAGCAGCCGCGGUAA